rnacentral:lncRNA from 1 species
AUGCCAAGUGGGCUAUGGACAGAACCUCUUGCAGAUGUCAGGGACCAGAACACAACAGGAAAAUAUGCAAGUGUUCAGAUAGGAUGCACUGAACUCUGGGGUCAGGACUGUUUCCUUGGUAAUCAUUCCAACAUCCAGAGAGGAGUGAGAUUCCAGCAACACUGUGGACAGAACAUCUUGCAAAUAGCAGGCACAGGUAUCCCCUAGGAAUGUGGACAUACGAUAGUGGCAAUGGACCAUAAACAAUAGAACAUGUAGAGAUUGUGCAAGUGGACAUGGAAAAGUGGACACAUAAUUGGUAGAAUAUCUGGGGCAUCGUCUGCAGUGAGAGGUCCAGAAUUCAUGAUUAUCCAUGAGAGGCCAUCUUGCUGAACACUGCCAUGUUCCAAGUAAGUGUAGGCAUAGUUCUUCCUUGUAGCACCAGUCAGGAGAUUUGACUGGACUUCAGUAAGUGAUGGUGGGGCCCUUGUGGGUUGUCCUGUCUGUGCUUUGGGUGCCAGUGCCAAG